rnacentral:rRNA from 1 species
GAUGAACGCUGGCGGCGUGCCUAAUACAUGCAAGUCGAGCGAACGGACGAGAAGCUUGCUUCUCUGAUGUUAGCGGCGGGCGGGUGAGUAACACGUGGAUAACCUACCUAUAAGACUGGGAUAACUUCGGGAAACCGGAGCUAAUACCGGAUAAUAUUUUGAACCGCAUGGUUCAAAAGUGAAAGACGGUCUUGCUGUCACUUAUAGAUGGAUCCGCGCUGCAUUAGCUAGUUGGUAAGGUAACGGCUUACCAAGGCAACGAUGCAUAGCCGACCUGAGAGGGUGAUCGGCCACACUGGAACUGAGACACGGUCCAGACUCCUACGGGAGGCAGCAGUAGGGAAUCUUCCGCAAUGGGCGAAAGCCUGACGGAGCAACGCCGCGUGAGUGAUGAAGGUCUUCGGAUCGUUAAACUCUGUUAUUAGGGAAGAACAUAUGUGUAAGUAACUGUGCACAUCUUGACGGUACCUAAUCAGAAAGCCACGGCUAACUACGUG